UACGUAGGGUGCAAGCGUUGUCCGGAAUUAUUGGGCGUAAAGAGCUCGUAGGCGGUCUGUCGCGUCGGCUGUGAAAACCCGGAGCUCAACUCCGGGCCUGCAGUCGAUACGGGCAGACUGGAGUUCGGCAGGGGAGACUGGAAUUCCUGGUGUAGCGGUGAAAUGCGCAGAUAUCAGGAGGAACACCGGUGGCGAAGGCGGGACUCUGGGCCGAUACUGACGCUGAGGAGCGAAAGCGUGGGGAGCGAACAGG
rnacentral:rRNA from 1 species